rnacentral:other from 1 species
AGGAUUCUGUGGCGUUGGUGACUGCCGUUAUGUUUUUCUGAUCUAUACCUUUCGACAAUUAGGAUGGGUUGUGGAUGUGAGAGCAGUAGGCCAAAUUCAGUUUGGAAACUAUCAAGAAUCAUCCCCGAUAUCCUAAACUGGAUUCUCCAGGUCGAAAACCACGGUAAAACGGCGCAAUAGAAUCUCC